GCCUUCGUGGUGUAGUGGUCAGCGCACUCGGCGCUUAUUCGAGAGGUCCGUGGUUCGAAUCCCGGCGAGGGCA
rfam:Stegodyphus mimosarum contig85406, whole genome shotgun sequence.